GGGGCAGCUAGAGUGUAUUCCUGAUGAUAUGCGAAGAUGUCUACAGCUACGUCUCGCUGAAGCUGAAUGUGCAUGGAUGUAGAUUGGAGACGGUGAAGCAUAACAUUCCUUGAAGCUUGUUUAUUUUGAUAGUAGUGAAUAGGUUAUCUGUGCAACUGGAACUUUGGGUUGCUUUUGGGGUUGGAAAAUCGUAAGCAGGCUUAGAAUUUUUUGGGAUGAGAAAUGGGUUGGAAAGUGGGAUUUUUUUUUUUUAUUUUUUUUUAUUUUUAUCGAAAGAAUGUUUUGAGUGAUAUGGAACGAUAUCAUAUUGUUAUAAUGAUCUUAACAGUAAUACUAACGUAUGUUGC
rnacentral:lncRNA from 1 species